CACACCGCCCGUCACAUCACGAAAGUCGGCUGUACCGGAAGUCAGUGGGCUAACCCGCAAGGGGGGCAGCUGCCCAUGGUAUGGUCGGUGAUUGGGGUG
rnacentral:rRNA from 1 species